GACGAACGCUGGCGGCGUGCUUAACACAUGCAAGUCGAACGGAAAGGCCCUGCUUUUGUGGGGUGCUCGAGUGGCGAACGGGUGAGUAACACGUGAGUAACCUGCCCUUGACUUUGGGAUAACUUCAGGAAACUGGGGCUAAUACCGGAUAGUAGCUCCUGCUGCAUGGUGGGGGUUGGAAAGUUUCGGCGGUUGGGGAUGGACUCUCGGCUUAUCAGCUUGUUGGUGGGGUAGUGGCUUACCAAGGCUUUGACGGGUAGCCGGCCUGAGAGGGUUACCGGCCACAUUGGGACUGAGAUACGGCCCAGACUCAUACGGGAGGCAGCAGUGGGGAAUAAUGCACAAUGGGCGGAAGCCUGAUGCAGCAAAGCCGCGUGCGGGAUGAAGGACUUCGGGUUGUAAACCGCUUUCGAAUGUGACGAAGCGUGAGUGAGGGUAAUGGGUAAAGAAGCACCGGCUAACUACGUG
rnacentral:rRNA from 1 species